GAUGAAGAACGUAGUGAAAUGCGAUAAGUAAUGUGAAUUGCAGAAUUCAGUGAAUCAUCGAAUCUUUGAACGCACAUUGCGCCCGCCAGUAUUCUGGCGGGCAUGCCUGUCCGAGCGUCAUUUCAACCCUCGAACCCCUCCGGGGGGUCGGCGUUGGGACCUCGGGAGCCCCUAAGACGGGAUCCCGGCCCCGAAAUACAGUGGCGGUCUCGCCGCAGCCUCUCCUGCGCAGUAGUUUGCACAACUCGCACCGGGAGCGCGGCGCGUCCACGUCCGUAAAACACCCAACUUCUGAAAUGUUGACCUCGGAUCAGGUAGGAAUACCCGCUGAACUUAAGCAUAUCAAUAAGCGGAGGA
rnacentral:misc_RNA from 1 species